UCGAGGAUCUUCGUCAAUGGGCGCAAGCCUGAACGAGCGAUGCCGCGUGCGCGAUGAAGGCCUUCGGGUUGUAAAGCGCUGUCGAGGGGGAGAAAAGCCGAAAGGUUUGAUCUAUCCCUGGAGGAAGCUCGGGCUAAGUUCGUGCCAGCAGCCGCGGUAAGACGAACCGAGCGAACGUUGUUCGGAAUCACUGGGCUUAAAGGGCGCGUAGGCGGGCUGUCAAGUCUGGGGUGAAAUCCCGCGGCUCAACCGUGGAACUGCCUCAGAUACUGACGGCCUCGAGGGAGGUAGGGGCGAGCGGAACGGGUGGUGGAGCGGUGAAAUGCGUUGAUAUCACUCGGAACUCCGGUGGCGAAAGCGGCUCGCUGGAUCUCUUCUGACGCUGAGGCGCGAAAGCUAGGGGAGCAAACGGGAUUAGAUACCCGGGUAGUCC
rnacentral:rRNA from 1 species